rnacentral:rRNA from 1 species
CUCAGUUCGAAUUGGAGGUCUGCAACCCGACUCCAUGAAGCUGGAUUCGCUAGUAAUCGCGCAUCAGCCACGGCGCGGUGAAUACGUUCCCGGGCCUUGUACACACCGCCCGUCAAGCCAUGGAAGCCGGGAGUGCCUGAAGUACGCGACCGCAAGGAGCGUCCUAAGGUAAAACCGGUGACUGGGGCUAAGUCGUAACAAGGUACC